UGACCCGGCGAUGUCCGAAUGGGGAAACCCAGUGCAAUCCGUUGCACUAUCGUUAACUGAAUACAUAGGUUAACGAGGCGAACCGGGGGAACUGAAACAUCUAAGUACCCCGAGGAAAAGAAAUCAACCGAGAUUCCCCCAGUAGCGGCGAGCGAACGGGGAGCAGCCCGGAGUCUGAAUCAGCUUGUGUGUUAGUGGAACGGUCUGGAAAGUCCGACGGUACAGGGUGAUAGUCCCGUACACGAAAAUGCACAUGCUGUGAACUCGAAGAGUAGGGCGGGACACGUGGUAUCCUGUCUGAAUAUGGGGGGACCAUCCUCCAAGGCUAAAUACUCCUGACUGACCGAUAGUGAACCAGUACCGUGAGGGAAAGGCGAAAAGAACCCCGGCGAGGGGAGUGAAAAAGAACCUGAAACCGUGUACGUACAAGCAGUGGGAGCCUCUUUAUGGGGUGACUGCGUACCUUUUGUAUAAUGGGUCAGCGACUUAUAUUCUGUAGCAAGGUUAACCGUAUAGGGGAGCCGAAGGGAAACCGAGUCUUAACUGGGCGUUAAGUUGCAGGGUAUAGACCCGAAACCCGGUGAUCUAGCCAUGGGCAGGUUGAAGGUUGGGUAACACUAACUGGAGGACCGAACCGACUAAUGUUGAAAAAUUAGCGGAUGACCUGUGGCUGGGGGUGAAAGGCCAAUCAAACCGGGAGAUAGCUGGUUCUCCCCGAAAGCUAUUUAGGUAGCGCCUCGUGAACUCAUCUUCGGGGGUAGAGCACUGUUUCGGCUAGGGGGCCAUCCCGGCUUACCAACCCGAUGCAAACUACGAAUACCGAAGAAUGUUAUCACGGGAGACACACGGCGGGUGCUAACGUCCGUCGUGAAGAGGGAAACAACCCAGACCGCCAGCUAAGGUCCCAAAGUCAUGGUUAAGUGGGAAACGAUGUGGGAAGGCACAGACAGCCAGGAUGUUGGCUUAGAAGCAGCCAUCAUUUAAAGAAAGCGUAAUAGCUCACUGGUCGAGUCGGCCUGCGCGGAAGAUGUAACGGGGCUAAACCAUGCACCGAAGCUGCGGCAGCGACACUAUGUGUUGUUGGGUAGGGGAGCGUUCUGUAAGCCGUUGAAGGUGUGCUGUGAGGCAUGCUGGAGGUAUCAGAAGUGCGAAUGCUGACAUAAGUAACGAUAAAGCGGGUGAAAAGCCCGCUCGCCGGAAGACCAAGGGUUCCUGUCCAACGUUAAUCGGGGCAGGGUGAGUCGACCCCUAAGGCGAGGCCGAAAGGCGUAGUCGAUGGGAAACAGGUUAAUAUUCCUGUACUUGGUGUUACUGCGAAGGGGGGACGGAGAAGGCUAUGUCAGCCGGGCGACGGUUGUCCCGGUUUAAGCAUGUAGGCGGAGGUUCCAGGUAAAUCCGGUACCUUGUUAACGCUGAGGUGUGAUGACGAGGCACUACGGUGCUGAAGUGAUAAAUGCCCUGCUUCCAGGAAAAGCCUCUAAGCAUCAGGUAACACGAAAUCGUACCCCAAACCGACACAGGUGGUCAGGUAGAGAAUACCAAGGCGCUUGAGAGAACUCGGGUGAAGGAACUAGGCAAAAUGGUGCCGUAACUUCGGGAGAAGGCACGCUGAUGUGUAGGUGAAGCCCCUGCGGGCGGAGCUGAAAUCAGUCGAAGAUACCAGCUGGCUGCAACUGUUUAUUAAAAACACAGCACUGUGCAAACACGAAAGUGGACGUAUACGGUGUGACGCCUGCCCGGUGCCGGAAGGUUAAUUGAUGGGGUUAGCGGCAACGCGAAGCUCUUGAUCGAAGCCCCGGUAAACGGCGGCCGUAACUAUAACGGUCCUAAGGUAGCGAAAUUCCUUGUCGGGUAAGUUCCGACCUGCACGAAUGGCGUAAUGAUGGCCAGGCUGUCUCCACCCGAGACUCAGUGAAAUUGAACUCGCUGUGAAGAUGCAGUGUACCCGCGGCAAGACGGAAAGACCCCGUGAACCUUUACUAUAGCUUGACACUGAACACUGGUCCUUGAUGUGUAGGAUAGGUGGGAGGCUUUGAAGCGUGGACGCCAGUCUGCGUGGAGCCAACCUUGAAAUACCACCCUUUAAUGGCUGGUGUUCUAACGUAGACCCGUAAUCCGGGUUGCGGACAGUGUCUGGUGGGUAGUUUGACUGGGGCGGUCUCCUCCCAAAGAGUAACGGAGGAGCACGAAGGUUGGCUAAUCCUGGUCGGACAUCAGGAGGUUAGUGCAAUGGCAUAAGCCAGCUUGACUGCGAGCGUGACGGCGCGAGCAGGUGCGAAAGCAGGUCAUAGUGAUCCGGUGGUUCUGAAUGGAAGGGCCAUCGCUCAACGGAUAAAAGGUACUCCGGGGAUAACAGGCUGAUACCGCCCAAGAGUUCAUAUCGACGGCGGUGUUUGGCACCUCGAUGUCGGCUCAUCACAUCCUGGGGCUGAAGUAGGUCCCAAGGGUAUGGCUGUUCGCCAUUUAAAGUGGUACGCGAGCUGGGUUUAGAACGUCGUGAGACAGUUCGGUCCCUAUCUGCCGUGGGCGCUGGAGAAUUGAGGGGGGCUGCUCCUAGUACGAGAGGACCGGAGUGGACGCAUCACUGGUGUUCGGGUUGUCAUGCCAAUGGCACUGCCCGGUAGCUAAAUGCGGAAGAGAUAAGUGCUGAAAGCAUCUAAGCACGAAACUUGCCCCGAGAUGAGUUCU
rnacentral:rRNA from 1 species